GCCAGGCAUGGUGGUGCACACCUAUGGUCUCAGCUACUUGGGAGGCUGAGGUGGGAGGAUUGCUUGAGCCCAGGAGGUUGGGGCUACAGUGAACUGAAAGUUUGCCACUGUACUCCAGCCUGGGCAACAGAGCAAGACCUCAUCUCAA
rnacentral:sRNA from 1 species